ensembl:lncRNA
GGAAUUCAGUGGAAGAAGCUCCAUAAUGGGUCCACCUGAAAACCACAGAGGAUAUUCAGUGCUAGAAUUGUUUCUUCUGCCAGAAGUGAGGGCAGAUCUCAGCUACGGAUCAAUUUUCAGAGAAAGCCCCAGCAUCAAUUACUUCUGACAUCCAUCUACCACCCUCUGCCCACUGACAGCCCCACAGGGCUUCAGAGACGCCAGCUGCCCUGUACACCACCUCAAAGGACAGCUCUGGGACUGGAACCAGAGAGUCUGACAGGGCACAUGCAGCCAUGCUGCCAUCAGACAGAUCUUUGGAGGAUUGCAGAGACCAGAAGACAUCCAGGAACUCUCCUCAGCUAACUCGGCAUGACUGGUGCUCUGUGGAAAAACCUCUAUUGCAUCACAGAGAAGAGAUGUAGCAGAGGCUGUAGCAGCCAUACAGCUGUCACAAAGUAUGAGAAGUUGAUCCUGUUGGAGUGCACUGUACCUCCCCUCAGAAUCUCAACUUUCCAAAAGUGGGAAUGGAAAGCUGUCACUUUGGUUUUCAUCUUGAGAGGGCAUUUUCUGUUUCUUCUGUUGAAGUCUGAGAUUUGUAACUUCUGUUUUCAGUAUCUUUGUAUGCUAAACUGAACAUAGUGGUUUCUCACACCAAAACUCAGGGGAAACCAUAAAAAUAUAAUGGCUUAUUUAACAAGCUGGAAAAAUCAACAGGUUUAGGUCUCUGGAUACAUUUCUAACCUUUUGACUUUUUUUUUUUUUAGCAAUGAUGGGUAAAAUUCUGUAUUGUGAGAAACAAAGAAAACUGGGUGUAGAAUUUUUUGUUAAGGGGCGUAUGAUUCAUAGAGGCCACAAGAGCUUUGCUUUAUUUGUGACCAAUUUCAGGGUUGUUGCUAAACUAAUUAUCUUAGCAAUACUGAAUAGAGAUUAAUAGGGGAACUCCGAGAAACAGAAAAGCAGAAAAGAACAAGACAUGUCAAAAUACCUGUGUUCAAACUGCUACGUCAGUUGGCCUGUGAGAAAAUAAUGGUACUACAGGUGUAAAGACUAAAAAGUGAUCAGGCUCAGCAUUUUUACUUAGAAACGUCAUAAAAUUCACAGUGAAAUUUGGUGAAUAUUGUUAAAAUGUUAACUUGAACACACAAAGUAUAGAAAAAAACAAUGGAAUGUUGUAAUGUCACACCUUUGUAAUUAUGUGAAAUGAGCUUACAAGAGCUCUCAACCAGACAGACUGCUAUAGGGUAUCUUCCAUUGGUGGUCUGUAUGAAUGGUUUGGACAGCAGCAUUGUGACUUCCUUUUCCAAAAUUUUAAUGAUUUCAUGAUAUAGAAGCCAACAGUGGAGAUCCAGCAAUGCACCCAACAGUAUAUGUGGCCUGGAUAGUAAUACCUUCCAGUAAAACAGGAUCACAGAUCUGACUGAAAGGGACUGCUUGGCUGUGAAAAGUUUUCCCCUGAAUUCCAACUCUGUUGCUCUUGUUUCAACCUGUGGAUGUUACCUCACUGUGUAGAGUCUGAUUCCAUCUUCCCAAGGCUGCCUCGCACGCCUACGCAAAAGACACUUCUGCUCCCAGCUGAGUCAGCUCCAGCUGCUCAGUCUCUUCCCAUAGCUGGAUCUGUUCUGAACCCAUGACAGUUUCCCAAUCUCUUUUGGCAUUGGCACCAUCUCAUAUCCAUCCUGAGGAUCUACAUCUAAGUAAGCUCAUCUUGCAUCUCAAGUUUGCAGAAACAAACUGGUAACCUCAAAGGACCUAUCACACAGAGCUAUUAUUGCACUGGCUGAACUAAUUUCUGACAGGACUUGUUUUCUCUCUUUAACUGAGGAGGAAACUCCUACCAAACAACCACAUUUCCUCAGCCAAGUGAGAUUACAGAAAGUUCAACCAGUGUCACCCUUUUUAUUCCCUUUGAAUUAAUUUUUCAAAAGAUUUGCAAAAAAGGAAAGACGGGAAAAUCAGUUCUAGGAAGUGGGUCACUAUAUGAUGCUUGUCUGUGAGUAGAUAUUUGCUGAGAUUGACAAAAAAUGACAGUAGUCAGCAAGUUUUUUGUUUACACUCUGUAAUCUUGCUAUCUGCAAUGGUUUGACUUUCACAGAGCUGAGGAAGUUUCCUAUUUUAACAGUAGUUUUCUGGGUUUCAUACUAAUAUGACAAAAAAUAACUGGUUUUACAAGACUUCUCUUUUUCCCUAAUUUUUGUUUUGACAAAGAUGCUGGAGUAUGCCAGUGCAGUUUGAUUUGCCAAAGUACCUCCUGAUGUCAGUAACAGAAGCAAAAAGGGCUCCUCUCAUUUACUCUGGUAGGCAUUGCUGAACAUUACACUGAUUCACUGGAUUCAGUAGAAUGAACCAAGACAACAGGGUGAAUAGUUAAAGCAAACAAUUUGUAAAUAACCCACUUACUGAAAAUUCAAAAAUUCAGAUUCGUCCAAGUAACUCCAGCAAACAUGAACCACUAACACACUGCCCAAAAACCAGGAAUAACUUCCAGCUAAAAAAAGAAAAACAAAAAAAAAAAGCACUUAAUUAGCAGGAAAGAAUUUGCUCAGCCUUAAAAUUUACAUUAAGUUCUAUAAGGCAAAACUGCUACACUUUGUUCAGUUUGAGGAUUCCAUAAAAAUUCUCAGCAAAAGUUUAUCUCCAACCCUGAUAAUCCUUCUUUCUUAUUUCAUAAUCUCCACCUAGUGGGAGUAUCAUAUUUUGUCAAAAUUUUAAAAUCAUUGGCACUUAUUAUUCAAAGAUCCCAUACCAAUAUUCUUCCCGUACAACAUUUUUGCAUAUUGAAAGUUUUAUAGAUUUUGCUUAUAAUAUCAUAGGUCAAACUCAAAAAUACAUUUAAGAAUUAAAAGUAUGAGUCCCUUUUUUUUCUUUUAAGAAAUUGUCUAAAUCAAUUGCUCACUUACCUACAAAGUCAAAAUUACAAUGCUAUAUGAAAAUGUUUUGAUGUUGAGGUCUUGAGCUUACUCCUGCCUGAUACACUUGCUUGGUGGGGAAUAUGACUUCACUAGAAAUCAGCCCUUGAUCACUGCAUUUUGCAUCUUAUCUUUGCAGGAGAGCUGCCUUUGAACUCACAUACUCAUACAGAGGAAGAUUUAAUGAUACACAGCACUUGCAAGUGACUUAAUUACAUGGGAGCCCAGAACAGUUUUUUGUGGUUCAAGGAUAAAACUAUAAAUUAACUCUUUGAACAAAAAUCCCCAAGUGGUUUAACCACAUUAUAAAGCAGGCACAUUUGGCUAAAGAAUCAAACCCAUACAAAUAAAUAAUUAUAUAUGUAUGUUUGAGCA